UACAGAGGUCUCAAGUGUUGUUCGGAUUCAUUGGGCGUAAAGGGUGUGUAGGUGGCGCCGUAAGUCAGGUGUGAAAUCUCGGGGCUUAACUCCGAAACUGCAUUUGAUACUGCGGUGCUUGAGGACUGGAGAGGAGACUGGAAUUUAUGGUGUAGCAGUGAAAUGCGUAGAUAUCAUAAGGAAGACCAGUGGCGAAGGCGGGUCUCUGGACAGUUCCUGACACUGAGACACGAAGGCCAGGGGAGCAAACGGG
rnacentral:rRNA from 1 species